rnacentral:lncRNA from 1 species
AUUCAAACACUGGCCACCAUGCCUGGCUUCCUUCUGGUUCAAGCCUGAAUAAGGGUCCCUCUUCUGUGCUGUCUUCCUGAAGCCAUCUGUGGAGUCAAGCAGUCAUGGCUCAGGGACACUCUGAAGUAGGUCCCAGCACAUCUGCGUGGAGCAUCAGGAGGAAGGUGGAUGAAUACUUAAGACCCAGCCUGGCCUCUAAAUCGGUGCUGAGCGUUUUACUCAGUAGACAGCUUGGGAAUCAUAGAAACGAUGUGGAUCUGACAGAGUGGCUGUGGACACUGAAGCAAGCCAUACCAGGGUGGACCUGGCCUUUGCCGACACGCCACACAAUCAACCCACCUCUGCCCCCUGGGGAGGAUAGAAAAUCCAAGAAAAUGGUGUGGAUCAAUAAAUCCUUCCCCUGAUGCAACCAUUA